rnacentral:misc_RNA from 1 species
GUAGGUGAACCUGCGGAAGGAUCAUUAUUGAAAUAAAUCUGAUGAGUUGCUGCUGGUUCUCUAGGGAGCAUGUGCACACUUGUCAUCUUUAUAUCUCCACCUGUGCACCUUUUGUAGACCUGGAUAUCUCUCUGAAUGCUAGUCAUUCAGGUUUGAGGAUUGACUUUAUGUCUCUCCUUACAUUUCCAGGCCUAUGUUCUUCAUAUACCCCAAUGUAUGUUAUAGAAUGUAAUCAAUGGCCUUUGUGCCUAUAAACCUAUACAACUUUCAGCAACGGAUCUCUUGGCUCUC